rnacentral:miRNA from 1 species
AAUCCUGGAUGGACAGACUCGU